CAGUCGCCGCGGCUAUACGGAGGGUGCAAGCGUUAAUCGGAAUUACUGGGCGUAAAGCGCACGCAGGCGGUCUGUCAAGUCGGAUGUGAAAUCCCCGGGCUCAACCUGGGAACUGCAUUCGAAACUGGCAGGCUAGAGUCUUGUAGAGGGGGGUAGAAUUCCAGGUGUAGCGGUGAAAUGCGUAGAGAUCUGGAGGAAUACCGGUGGCGAAGGCGGCCCCCUGGACAAAGACUGACGCUCAGGUGCGAAAGCGUGGGGAGCAAACAGGAUUAGAUACCCCAGUAGUCCCUGUCUCUUAUAC
rnacentral:rRNA from 1 species